UACAGAGUCCCAAGCGUUGUUCGGAUUCACUGGGCGUAAAGGGUGCGUAGGUGGCCAGGUAAGUUCGGUGUGAAAGCUCGGAGCUUAACUCCGAAAUGGCAUUGAAUACUAUCUGGCUAGAGGGUCGGAGGGGAGACUGGAAUUCUCGGUGUAGCAGUGAAAUGCGUAGAUAUCGAGAGGAACACCAGUGGCGAAGGCGAGUCUCUGGACGACUCCUGACACUGAGGCACGAAAGCCAGGGGAGCAAACAGG
rnacentral:rRNA from 1 species